rnacentral:pre_miRNA from 1 species
AAAAAAACAAACCCUGCAUUCUCGUGUUGAACGUUUAAAUCUCCGUCUUAUAUAAAAUUUUUUUAUAAUUAAUAUUUUUAUUAUUGUUAGACGAUAAAACAAAGAUUAAUACUUUAUGCGUGAUUUGUCUUUUCAAUUUUUUCAUAUUUUUUUUAAAUAAGACGAAAAGUUAAAUAUUGGCUAUGAAAAUUUAGG